rnacentral:lncRNA from 1 species
UGAACAAAUCUAGAUGGGACUCACUUCUUUCCCUACUCUGGAACUCAGCCAUCCCUGCACUAAAUUUUCUUAAGGUGAGAAAGUGAAAGAUGAAAACAGUAAUCUAAAUGACCAUAUAUUCUCCCCAUAACACUAUAUUGUACUCAGCUUUCUCUUAUUUUUUUUUAUCCUUUUGAUUUCUCUGUGCAGAAAAAGGGAAAUUCACUGAAUACUGUAAAAAUUUCCUUUGAAAGAUUUUUAAUCUAGUUCUUCUUCAUAUUCAGUGCAAUAUCACCCUCUUACAGUAUUAUAUACCUUAUAAUUUAUUUAUUUAUUUAUUUAUUUAUUUAUUUAUUUAUGUGUGUGUGUGUGUGUGUGUGUUGCUGGGGAUCAAUCUCAGGACUUAGUACAUGCCUGAUGGUCAGGCUAUCACUGAACUACAUUUCCAACCCCUGCUUAGGAUAGUUUUAUUCAAUAACAAAAAGCCCUACAGGAGCUUGGGCAUGUCUUUGUUCUGAUUUCUACAUUCCGUGGGGGAGGGGAAUAAAGCUCUCUUUUUAAAUAUUAAGCAGAUUAGACAUUAAUUUUAUUAAAUCAACCAUUAGUUAUUAAUCAAACAAAAAUAAAAAUAAAAUAUGUAGCUAUCCAAAGACAACAUUUUCUUUAGAUUUUCCCCAAAUGUGUCUUUUCUUGCUUUACUCCCAAAUACUUUCAUUUUUAUUGUCUUCCUUUUAUUGGUUUUACAAUGUCAGUAUCAAGAUGAUCUUGUUUGAUGGCUUACAAACACCACUUAUAAGAUUCCAAACAAAUAAAAAUUGAAUUUUAAUAAAACAAAUUUGUUUAUUGAGAUAUGUAUGAGAGAGACCUAGUAUUUCAUGCUUGUUGAGUAAAUUAGGCUUUGAAAUAUAUUUGAAUUUGUGGAGUGAGGGUGAAGAAUCACACACACACACACAACAUACACAUACACACACAUACCAAACAAC